GGUUUAAUUCGAAGCAACGCGAAGAACCUUACCAAGUCUUGACAUCCUCUUGACCGGUCAGUAAUGUGACCUUUUCUUCGGAACAAGAGUGACAGGUGGUGCAUGGUUGUCGUCAGCUCGUGUCGUGAGAUGUUGGGUUAAGUCCCGCAACGAGCGCAACCCUUAUCCUUAGUAGCCAGCAGUUCGGCUGGGCACUCUAGGGAGACUGCCAGGGAUAACCUGGAG
rnacentral:rRNA from 1 species